UAAUCACUUGUCUCCUAAAUAGAGACCCGUAUGAAUGGCAUAACGAGGGUUUAACUGUCUCCUCCUCCCAGUCAAUGAAAUUGAUCUAUCCGUGAAGAAGCGGGUAUAAAAACAUAAGACGAGAAGACCCUAUGGAGCUUUAGACAAAAGACAAAACAUGUAAAAACACUCAAAAACUCGAAGAAGGGCAACAAGAAUAUAAUAAACCCAUGGUAAAUGACCUAAAGUCUUCGAUUGGGGCGAUCAUGGGGGAAAACAAAGCCCCCACGUGGAACGGGAACAAACCCUUAAAUUAAGAGGGACACCUCAAAACCUCAGAAAAUCUGACCAAAAAUGACCCAGAACAUUAUCUGAUCAACGAACCAAGUUACCCUAGGGAUAACAGCGCAAUCCUUUUCCAGAGCCCA
rnacentral:rRNA from 1 species